rnacentral:rRNA from 1 species
AGUGAACGCUGGCGGUAGGCCUAACACAUGCAAGUCGAACGGCAGCACAGUAAGAGCUUGCUCUUACGGGUGGCGAGUGGCGGACGGGUGAGGAAUACAUCGGAAUCUACUUUUUCGUGGGGGAUAACGUAGGGAAACUUACGCUAAUACCGCAUACGACCUACGGGUGAAAGCAGGGGAUCUUCGGACCUUGCGCGAUUGAAUGAGCCGAUGUCGGAUUAGCUAGUUGGCGGGGUAAAGGCCCACCAAGGCGACGAUCCGUAGCUGGUCUGAGAGGAUGAUCAGCCACACUGGAACUGAGACACGGUCCAGACUCCUACGGGGGGCAGCAGUGGAGAAUAUUGGACAAGGGGCGAAAGCCUGAUCCAGCCAUACCGCGUGGGUGAAGAAGGCCUUCGGGUUGUAAAGCCCUUUUGUUGGGAAAGAAAAGCAGCAGGUUAAUACCCCGCUGUUCUGACGGUACCCAAAGAAUAAGCCCCGGCUAACUUCG